rnacentral:rRNA from 1 species
GACGUAGGGCGCGAGCGUUGUCCGGAUUUAUUGGGCGUAAAGAGCUCGUAGGCGGCUUGUCGCGUCGGCCGUGAAAACCUGUGGCUUAACCAUGGGCUUGCGGUCGAUACGGGCAUCACUGGAGUUCGGCAGGGGAGACUGGAAUUCCUGGUGUAGCGGUGAAAUGCGCAGAUAUCAGGAGGAACACCGGUGGCGAAGGCGGGUCUCUGGGCCGAUACUGACGCUGAGGAGCGAAAGCGUGGGGAGCGAACAGG